rnacentral:rRNA from 1 species
AUGGGCGUCGGUACCAGAGGGAUCCACUUCGUGCCCGGUCCGGCCUCCGAGGAGGAGCAAGAGCGCGUCCCGCCGUCCCGGGGCUGGUACCCGGCCGCCUACGCCAGGCUGCUCCGUCUCGCGGGGUCGCUCCAAGGCGUCGACCUCGUAGAUGGCGACCUGCGGGACGCCGCGACGGGAUCCCUUGUCACCGAUGUGCACGCCCUCGCCCGGGUGGAGCACUUCGACGCCCUCGCGGGUGAGUUCGGCGCGACCCGGCGCGGGCCGCCGCUCAAGACGACGGCGCUGAGCUCGCUCGCGAAGGUGUGCGACGUUCUCGGCGUGUCGGCGCAGCGGAGGAAGAACGUGCGGCUGACGGUCUGCCCGCAGGUGACGCAGCACCACGUCUGGCGCGGCGCGCUGGAGGAGGUGCUCAGGGACCUUCGAGCAGACAUGGGCGCGCUGGAACCCCCGUCUCCGGCGAUUCGGAUGGCGGAACAGAUCGCAUCGGCCUGCGCCAGCUUCCUGUCGGAGACCGCGGACGCGGCGACGUCCUCCUCGCCGUCCUGGAUGCGCCCAACGCCGUACAGGAGGCCGUCCCCUGCGCCGCCACCGGCAAAGGCAUGGCAAGAAGUACUGGACAUGUUCACGGACCUGGGGAAGAGCCUGGCAACCGACGAGCGGCUAGCCCGGCACGCGCAGAAGGUGGAGGCCAUGAAGGAGGGGCUGUACCAGAUACGCGACAUCAUUGUCGAGAGGGACAUCGCCUUCAAGGAGGCGCGCCACCAGGACUGCCUGGUGCAGAGGAAUCUGUCCAAGAACCUGGGGCACUCGUCCCGGGGCCUCUACACGCUGCUGCUCUUCUACCUCUACGGCACUGUCCGGGACAUCGAGGUGCAUAUCGGCAAGUGCCUGACCGGCAAGGAAGGCAAGAAUGUCACCAUACACGCCGUGAAAUUCCUCGUCGACGGCGAUGAACUCGCGGUCCAGAGCGGCAUCAAGCAGCUGAGCCGCGCGCUCCGUGUCUUCAGCUUUGUCUGGGAAGCAGCAAAUACUGACACUGGGACUAUCAACGAUAUCGUCGUCAAGAAAGGUGAGGGUGCCAAGGGAGUAUUGAAGCUGCAAGGGCAUCUGUGGGGCCUUGGUGUUGAGGAGAAGACGGUGACAUACAGAGGGGAUGUUUUCAAAGUGCAUCAGAUAAAGCUGCCCUGA